rnacentral:rRNA from 1 species
GAUGAACGCUGGCGGCGUGCCUAAUACAUGCAAGUCGAGCGAACGGACGAGAAGCUUGCUUCUCUGAUGUUAGCGGCGGACGGGUGAGUAACACGUGGUUAACCUACCUAUAAGACUGGGAUAACUUCGGGAAACCGUAGCUAAUACCGGAUAAUAUUUUGAACCGCAUGGUUCAAAAGUGAAAGACGGUCUUGCUGUCACUUAUAGAUGGAUCCGCGCUGCAUUAGCUAGUUGGUAAGGUAACGGCUUACCAAGGCAACGAUGCAUAGCCGACCUGAGAGGGUGAUCGGCCACACUGGAACUGAGACACGGUCCAGACUCCUACGGGAGGCAGCAGUAGGGAAUCUUCCGCAAUGGGCGAAAGCCUGACGGAGCAACGCCGCGUGAGUGAUGAAGGUCUUCGGCUCGUAAAACUCUGUUAUUAGGGAAGAACAUAUGUGUAAGUAACUGUGCACAUCUUGACGGUACCUAAUCAGAAAGCCACGGCUAACUACGUG